UACGUAGGGGGCAAGCGUUGUCCGGAUUUAUUGGGCGUAAAGAGCGUGUAGGCGGCCAGAUAGGUCUGUUGUGAAAACUCGAGGCUCAACCUCGAGACGCCGAUGGAAACCAUUUGGCUAGAGUCCGGAAGAGGAGAGUGGAAUUCCUGGUGUAGCGGUGAAAUGCGCAGAUAUCAGGAAGAACACCCGUGGCUAAGGCGGCUCUCUAGUACGGUACUGACGCUGAGACGCGAAAGCGUGGGGAGCGAACAGG
rnacentral:rRNA from 1 species